UACAUGUGGGGCAAGCGUUGUUCGGAAUCACUGGGCAUAAAGGGUGCGUAGGCGGCGUGACACGUCCUGGGUGAAAUCCUGCGGCCCAACCGUGGGUCUGCCUGGGAUACGGUCAUGCUGGAGUGCGUGAGGGGUGACUGGAACGCGUGAUGUAGCGGUGAAAUGCGUAGAUAUCACGCGGAAGGCCAACGGCGAAGGCAGGUCACUGGCACGCAACUGACGCUGAGUGCACGAAAGCGCGGGGAGCAAACAGG
rnacentral:rRNA from 1 species